rfam:Aedes albopictus isolate Foshan contig31368, whole genome shotgun sequence.
UCCUCAGUAGCUUAGUUGGUAAAGCACUUGUCUAGCGAAUAAGGGUCGUGAGUUCAAAUCUCACCUGAGCUG